rnacentral:lncRNA from 1 species
GUUGACGCUAACCCGCGCGUUGCGGCGGGUUGUUGAUUAUAAAUGACUCUUGUAUGAGCAUAUGAGAUGCGAAGUUCUUAAGUUUUUAUAAAACAUUCUUUUGGUUUUGACCAACCUCCAGCCUACAACAUCACACUAAAUCAUUUUUAAUUAAGUUUUUUGCCUAAGCUAACUAUGAUCUUGUUUUCACAAAGCAAACCAAAUUAAACUCUUCUUAAUUAAAUUAACAAAAAAGCCAUUCUUUAUUAAACUCUUCUUUAUGAUUUGUUAAAAACAUUUUAAAAGCUAUUAAAAAUAUUUAAUUAAAAUUAAGUUACAUAAUUUCUUUUAAUGAAAUAACAAUUUUAUUAGCAAAAUUCAAAUAUAAUUAUAAAAUUAAACUAACAAUGCAGAACAUUUCCUAAACAUAGAUUAUAAAUAUGUUUCAUAAAAUACAAUAUUUUAUUGAAUUUUUUUUUUAAAUUAUUACUUUCAAAUCUUAAUGUCCAAUAUUUAACAUAAUAAUAUAGUUCUUGUAGGUAAAGAAAAAAAAUUUACCUGCGACAAAUAUUUUAAUAUUUGGUUAUUAAAAAAAUUGAGACAUAAUGAGUUUAACAUUUUGACAUGUAUUUUUAACUUAUGCAUAAUUUUCAAUUACUUUCUAUACUGCUACAUAUAACAUUUAUAUUAUUCUGUUUUAAAAACAGAAUUCAAACCCAAUUAUAAACAACGAAAUGCAUCUUACUUCAUCCUUACCGUUCAAAUUUAUUAAUCUCAGUGUCAUUUCUUAACUGUUAAAAUUUACAAAAUGUAGUUUUAAUAUUUUUAUUUUCAAAAUCCAAGGAUGGUUUUGUAAAACCAUCAAACACCAUGCAGGGAGAUAGAAAUACAGUGAGAGAAGUUGAUAUGCAAGAGAAAGAGAGAGAGGCCAACCAGAAUCCGAGUGGCAGCCAUCCAUAUAAGUCAGGUCGGUGUUUCGGAUAUGGGUGAUAUCCAACGGUUCUCCUCGGUGGAAGAAGUCGAAGGUUUUGGGCAAUCCGGCGAAAUGUUCAAACCACUGAGGCGAGCGAUGAAGAGUUCUGAUCAGACGAAAGCCUCGGCGAAUCAAAGAUGAAAACACAGAAAAUGUUAUUUUCUCUCUAUCUCACACACUCUCUGUUUCUAGAUCCCAUCCCGGUCACCGGCGAAUAUGGUGUCGUCGUCGUUGUCUUACACAUCUCUCUGUUCACCCACUCAGCGUUGCCUUGAUAGUAUCGAAGAAGUCAGGCGUCGUUAAAUCGACGGGAAGAAAACAAUUACAGAUACCUCGCCGCGCGGAGAUGACGAUUUGCAGAGACAAUGGGGGAGUUCAAUCAAAUUGUUGGGACAUGACAUGUGGUUUUGUGGUGGUGGUGAUGGUUGGUUAUAUAGGGUAGUGGAAAGGUGGCAAACGAUUGGAGGAACGGCGGUGGGAGGAGGCGCGUCGUUUCGGUCAGUGACGACGACAGUUGAAUCGUUGUGUCAAUUCCGUUAAGGCGUAUUCACUUUAAGUUGAGGGUGUCGGUUAAUUCACGGAGUUGGUUAUUUGCAAAUUGCAAUGGAUGGUGGAGUUGCUUUUUUAUAU